rnacentral:sRNA from 1 species
GCCGUUGUCUUAAUUGGCGGGGGUUCGAAUCCCCUCGAUGUCAUCCUUUUCCUUUUGUGGUAGCAGUGGUUUGCCGUGUUGC